GUUAGUGGAAGCGUCUGGAAAGGCGUGCGAUACAGGGUGACAGCCCCGUACACAAAAAUGCACAUACUGUGAGCUCGAUGAGUAGGGCGGGACACGUGGUAUCCUGUCUGAAUAUGGGGGGACCAUCCUCCAAGGCUAAAUACUCCUGACUGACCGAUAGUGAACCAGUACCGUGAGGGAAAGGCGAAAAGAACCCCGGCGAGGGGAGUGAAAAAGAACCUGAAACCGUGUACGUACAAGCAGUGGGAGCACGCUUAGGCGUGUGACUGCGUACCUUUUGUAUAAUGGGUCAGCGACUUAUAUUCUGUAGCAAGGUUAACCGAAUAGGGGAGCCGAAGGGAAACCGAGUCUUAACUGGGCGUUAAGUUGCAGGGUAUAGACCCGAAACCCGGUGAUCUAGCCAUGGGCAGGUUGAAGGUUGGGUAACACUAACUGGAGGACCGAACCGACUAAUGUUGAAAAAUUAGCGGAUGACUUGUGGCUGGGGGUGAAAGGCCAAUCAAACCGGGAGAUAGCUGGUUCUCCCCGAAAGCUAUUUAGGUAGCGCCUCGUGAAUUCAUCUCCGGGGGUAGAGCACUGUUUCGGCAAGGGGGUCAUCCCGACUUACCAACCCGAUGCAAACUGCGAAUACCGGAGAAUGUUAUCACGGGAGACACACGGCGGGUGCUAACGUCCGUCGUGAAGAGGGAAACAACCCAGACCGCCAGCUAAGGUCCCAAAGUCAUGGUUAAGUGGGAAACGAUGUGGGAAGGCCCAGACAGCCAGGAUGUUGGCUUAGAAGCAGCCAUCAUUUAAAGAAAGCGUAAUAGCUCACUGGUCGAGUCGGCCUGCGCGGAAGAUGUAACGGGGCUAAACCAUGCACCGAAGCUGCGGCAGCGACGCUUAUGCGUUGUUGGGUAGGGGAGCGUUCUGUAAGCCUGUGAAGGUGUACUGUGAGGUAUGCUGGAGGUAUCAGAAGUGCGAAUGCUGACAUAAGUAACGAUAAAGCGGGUGAAAAGCCCGCUCGCCGGAAGACCAAGGGUUCCUGUCCAACGUUAAUCGGGGCAGGGUGAGUCGACCCCUAAGGCGAGGCCGAAAGGCGUAGUCGAUGGGAAACAGGUUAAUAUUCCUGUACUUGGUGUUACUGCGAAGGGGGGACGGAGAAGGCUAUGUUGGCCGGGCGACGGUUGUCCCGGUUUAAGCGUGUAGGCUGGUUUUCCAGGCAAAUCCGGAAAAUCAAGGCCGAGGCGUGAUGACGAGGCACUACGGUGCUGAAGCAACAAAUGCCCUGCUUCCAGGAAAAGCCUCUAAGCAUCAGGUAACAUCAAAUCGUACCCCAAACCGACACAGGUGGUCAGGUAGAGAAUACCAAGGCGCUUGAGAGAACUCGGGUGAAGGAACUAGGCAAAAUGGUGCCGUAACUUCGGGAGAAGGCACGCUGAUACGUAGGUGAAGCGACUUGCUCGUGGAGCUGAAAUCAGUCGAAGAUACCAGCUGGCUGCAACUGUUUAUUAAAAACACAGCACUGUGCAAACACGAAAGUGGACGUAUACGGUGUGACGCCUGCCCGGUGCCGGAAGGUUAAUUGAUGGGGUUAGCGCAAGCGAAGCUCUUGAUCGAAGCCCCGGUAAACGGCGGCCGUAACUAUAACGGUCCUAAGGUAGCGAAAUUCCUUGUCGGGUAAGUUCCGACCUGCACGAAUGGCGUAAUGAUGGCCAGGCUGUCUCCACCCGAGACUCAGUGAAAUUGAACUCGCUGUGAAGAUGCAGUGUACCCGCGGCAAGACGGAAAGACCCCGUGAACCUUUACUAUAGCUUGACACUGAACAUUGAGCCUUGAUGUGUAGGAUAGGUGGGAGGCUUUGAAGUGUGGACGCCAGUCUGCAUGGAGCCGACCUUGAAAUACCACCCUUUAAUGUUU
rnacentral:rRNA from 1 species